rnacentral:rRNA from 1 species
UACGGAGGGUGCAAGCGUUAUCCGGAUUCACUGGGUUUAAAGGGUGCGUAGGCGGGCAGGUAAGUCCGUGGUGAAAUCUCUGAGCUUAACUCAGAAACUGCCAUGGAUACUAUUUGUCUUGAAUACCGUGGAGGUGAGCGGAAUAUGUCAUGUAGCGGUGAAAUGCUUAGAUAUGACAUAGAACACCAAUUGCGAAGGCAGCUCACUACGCGAAUAUUGACACUGAGGCACGAAAGCGUGGGGAUCAAACAGG